AUACAUUCUUUAUUUGUUUAUUUAUUUACUUAUUUAUUUAUUUGCCUAUUCACCCAUUUCCCUAUUUCAUUUGUGUUAUAUAUUGAGUUAUUUCAGAUCUUGCAUUUUUCUUCCUUUCUUCCUUUAGUCAUUUGUUCAGGCGAUCAACAAUACAUAAAGGAUGAUAGACGGAAUAUUUAGCAGUCACUCCUAAUUGGCUUACGUUUUCUCUCAUAAAGUUACCACUCAACAUUUACCAGUCACUACUAAUUUCAACACAUUUUCUAUCUUUCCUUCUCCUCUACCACCUCCUUCUUCAGUGUAUGAACUAAAUAAAACACUCAACAUUUACAAGAGUCAUCGCUAAUUUUUUAAACAAUUUUUUUUUUCUGUUGUCGUUUUCUUCCACGGCGCGCCACACCGCAGAUUAAGCGACCACAACACAGACACGUGCCACAUUUUUGAACGGUUGAGUCAAUUUAAGUCAUUUUUUACUUCAUUCCUGGUACUUGAGGAGACAACAACAAAGAAAAAAAAAACAAGGAACACAAAGAAAAGAAGGAAACAAACAACAUGGCCACCCGCAACACUAACACAACUCCACAGAAAACGAAGAAACACGAAGAAAACGACAAAGAAAGAGAAACAAAGGAAGAGAAAACGGCAAAACACUCAAACCAAAACAGACCCAACGAAGAAAACGGAGCGGAGCGAACAGAAAACGGGGAAGAGGAGGAGGAGAAUACUGUAUUACUAUUAGGAGAUAGAAAUAAUUUGCAACACGUAAGAGAAAAUGAAUUGAUUGAUUUUACUUGCCACCACCACAAUUACCUGCAUCACGUGACCUGGUGUGGUGGUGGUGGUGGUGGUGGUGAUGUGGUGGUGACAGGGGUGUAUAAAAAUUCUGAUCUUCCUCUUCCUCCUCUUCCUUCUGGUUCCUUCUUCUCUCCUCCUCCUCCUCCUCUUCCUCUCCAUCAUCAUUACAACAUGGGAUAUAGUGGGAGAGAAGAAACGUCAAUAUGGAGAGAAACUGGAGAGAAUGAGAUAGAGGAGGAGGAGAAGGAGGAGGAAGAGGAGGAAGAGGAAGAAGAGCUAGAAGAGGAAGAGGAGAUGACAAGGCGGACAAGAGAGGAAGAAGAGGAGCAUUAUACAACACUGAAUGAAGUGGGAGAAGACCUGAUGGCGUACCAGUUCCUGCUCCGAAUGCACCAGGUAGCCUCCAACAUCACACGCUGCAUCAUCCACAAGUACCUGCAGCCCUGAGGGGGUACGCGGCCCAGGGGGAGGAGGAGGAUGAGGAUAGGAGGAACAGGAGGAGAUGGCUACGAUGAGAAGGAGGAGGAAGAUGAAGAAAAGGGAAAGGAAAGCAAAUGUCAACACAGGAGGAGGAGGAGGAGGA